rnacentral:rRNA from 1 species
CCUACGUGUGGCAGCAGUGAGGAAUAUUGGUCAAUGGCCGUAAGGCUGAACCAGCCAAGUAGCGUGAGGGAAGACUGCCCUAUGGGUUGUAAACCUCUGUUAUGCGGGGGUAAAGGUGUCCACGUGUGGAUUUUUGCACGUACCGCAUGAAUAAGGACCGGCUAAUUCCGUGCCAGCAGCCGCGGUAAUACGGAAGGUCCGGGCGUGAGCCGGAUUUAUUGGGUUUAAAGGGCGCGUAGGCGGGUCUUUAAGCGUGCAGUGAAAUUUUGUGGCUCAACCAGGAGAGUGCGGCGCGAACUGGAGACCUUGAGUGAGCGGAGGGCAGGCGGAAUUCGUGGUGUAGCGGUGAAAUGCGGAGAUAUCGCGAAGAACCCCGAUUGCGAAGGCAGCCUGCCGCAGCGUUACUGACGCUGAAGCUCGAAAGCGAGGGUAUCGAACAGGAUUAGAUACCCCUGUAGUC